UAAGCAUAUUACUAAGCGGAGGAAAAGAAACUAACCAGGAUUCCCUCAGUAACGGCGAGUGAAGUGGGAACAGCUCAAGCCGAAAAUCCGGAGGACACCGUGCCUCCCGAAUUGUAGUCUAGAAAAGCGCCAUCGGCCGCGCGCGUGGUUCAAAUCCCUUGGAACAGGGUAUCGGAGAGGGUGAGAAUCCCGUACCGCCAUGCGUCCGUGGCCGCACGAUGCGCUCUUGUCGAGUCGCGUUGCUUGGGAGUGCAGCGUUAAGUGGGUGGUAAAUUUCAUCUAAAGCUAAAUAUUGGCGAGAGACCGAUAGCGAACAAGUACCGUGAGGGAAAGAUGCAAAGAACUUUGAAAAGAGAGUUAAAAAGUGCUUGAAAUUGUUAGGAGGAAACACGCUUGGAGUCAGUUUCGCGCGUGCCAAAUCAGUGGCGAGCGUCGAUCACCGCUUAAAGGGAGCGCAAGCCCCGUGCCGUGGUUGUGAGACGUUGUUCAUGCACUUUGGCUGCGRCGGGUCAGGGUGGAUUGCUGCUGCGGUACACGGGUUCCUUCUGCGCCUUCGGGUGGGUUGGUUCUUAUGCCGUGGCGGUGAUUGAGGUCUUAGCUCGCUCUCAGGCUCUUCUAUCCAUGUGCGGCUCGAGACCCUGACGAAAUGGCUCCCAGCGACCCGUCUUG
rnacentral:rRNA from 1 species